UACGGAGGGUGCAAGCGUUGUCCGGAUUUAUUGGGUUUAAAGGGUGCGUAGGCGGCCCGUUAAGUCAGCGGUGAAAGCCCGGGGCUCAACCCCGGAACCGCCGUUGAUACUGGGGGGCUUGAGUAUGGACGAGGUUGGCGGAAUUGAGGGUGUAGCGGUGAAAUGCUUAGAUACCCUCAAGAACACCGAUUGCGUAGGCAGCUAACUAGGCCAUAACUGACGCUGAGGCACGAAAGCGUGGGGAGCGAACAGG
rnacentral:rRNA from 1 species